CCUACGGGAGGCUGCAGUGGGGAAUAUUGGACAAUGGGGGCAACCCUGAUCCAGCCAUGCCGCGUGUGUGAAGAAGGCCCUCGGGUUGUAAAGCACUUUCAGUGAGGAAGAACGCCUGGUGGUUAAUACCCAUCAGGAAAGACAUCACUCACAGAAGAAGCACCGGCUAACUCCGUGCCAGCAGCCGCGGUAAUACGGAGGGUGCGAGCGUUAAUCGGAAUUACUGGGCGUAAAGCGCGCGUAGGUGGCUUGAUAAGCCGGUUGUGGAAAGCCCCGGGCUCAACCUGGGAACGGCAUCCGGAACUGUCAAGCUAGAGUGCAGGAGAGGAAGGUAGAAUUACCGGUGUAGCGGUGAAAUGCGUAGAGAUCGGGAGGAAUACCAGUGGCGAAGGCGGCCUUCUGGACUGACACUGACACUGAGGUGCGAAAGCGUGGGUAGCAAACAGGAUUAGAUACCCUAGUAGUC
rnacentral:rRNA from 1 species